AAGAUAUGACUUCAGAUCCAUUUGACCAAUGAUCAGGAUUCUGGUGCAUAUCCCAAAUCUAAACUAGUCCUCCUAAUAUCAUCUAUUCUUAAUCUAGAAAUCGUGGAAAGAGUUGUAAUCAUCUCAAUCGUGGGAUCGAUUCCCAAAACUCGGUGCAUGUCCCUGAUCUAGUGCUUCAUGCUCAUCUUGAUCUACAAGAUUGUUAAAUUAGAUUAGAGAGAAAGAUAAGAUGGUGGUCGGUCUUAUACCGAUCAUGCAAGUAUGAGAGAAUCUGUGAGGGAAAUAAUGAGAAAGAGAGAGACAAGUGAAACAUCUACAAAACGGAGAGAAAAAAAGAUAAACAAAUAUAGGAGAGGUGAAACAAUCUUGAUGGCGAUCUUCUUAGCAAAAGAAAUAAUAGAAAGGUGAGGGGAGAUGUACCAGAGGUGGCGA
rnacentral:lncRNA from 1 species